CUCACUCUCAAGUUGAACCCUAUUUGCGAAGUUUGUGAGGUCAAGAGUAACAGCGUGACUUAGAAUCGAUUUAUUUACCAUGAUUAGCAUGCAGGGAGAGAAUUAUUUAUGUGGGGUUCUAAAUUUUGUGCAGGUCAUGCUUGUCUAUGAGGCAUACCAAAAUUGGAACCGGUGGGAGAGAGUUGUGGGGAUGCCUAAUACUAUUGGAGCACAAAAACAGAGUAAAAACUACUAGUUUCUUGUCAGCAGCAGUGUACUCAUGUGCAUGUGGCCAUACACAUUAUUAAGAGCAUAUCCUGAUCUGUUUUCUAG
rnacentral:lncRNA from 1 species